AUUUCCCUCCAGUGCCCUUCCAAUUCCCCUUCCCCUUCCCCUCCGCCGUAUCCCACCACUCCCAUUCCCAUUCCCACUCCCCUUUCCGCUUCCCCUGUGCCAUCUCCCUCCAGUCCCCUUCCAAUUCCCAUUCCCCUUGCCCUGAGGCAUCUCCCUCCAGUCCCAGUCCCAUUCCCAUUAGCCCCUUUCCCUGUGCCAUCUCCCUCCAGUCCCCUUCCCAUUCCCUCUCCCCUUCCCCUGAGGCAUCUUCCUGCUCUCCCAUUCCAAUUCCCAUUCCCCUUCCUCCUCCCCUGCAGCAUUACCCUCCUAUCCCUUUCACAUUCCCUUUUCCCUUCCCCUGCAGCAUCGCCCUCCAGUCCCAUUGCAAAUCCCAUUCCCCAUUCCCCUUUCCCCGUACCCUGUGCCAUCUCCCUCCAGUCCCCUUCCCAUUCCCUUUCCCCGUACUCUGUGCCAUCUCCCUCCAGUCCCCUUCCAAUUCCCCUUCCCCUUCCCCUGCAGCGUCUCCCUCCAGUCCCAUUCCCAUUCCCCUUUUCCCGUACCCUGUGGCAUUUCCCUCCAGUCCCCUUCCCAUUCCCUUUCCCCUUCCCCAGAGGCAUCUCCCUCCAGUCCCAUUCCCAUUCCCCUUUUCCCGUACCCUGUGGCAUUUCCCUCCAGUCCCCUUCCCAUUCCCUUUCCCCUUCCCAGAGGCAUCUCCCUCCAGUCCCAUUCCUAUUCCCCUUACCGUUCCCCUGCAGCAUCUCCCUCCAGUCCCCUUCCCAUUCCCUUUCCCCUUCCCCUGAUGUAUCUCCCUCCAAUCCCAUUCUAAAUCCCAUUCCCCUUUCCCCUUACCCUCUGCCAUCUCCCUCCAGUACCCUUCCUAAUCCCUUUCGCCUUCCCCUGAGGCAUCUCCCUCCAGUCCUAUUACAAAUCCCAUUCCCCUGUCCUGUUUCCCUGUGGCAUUUCCUUCCAGUCCCCUUCCAAUUCCCCUUCCCCUUCCCCUGCAGCAUUUCCCUCCAGACCCUUUCCCAUUCCCCUUUCCCCUUCACCUGUGCAAUCUCUCUCCAAUCCCAUUCCAAAUCCCAUACCCCUUUACCCAUACCCUGUGGCAUUUCCCUCCAAUCCCCUUCCCAUUCCACUUCCCCUUCCCCUGAUGCAUCUCCCUGCAGUCCUACUGCAAAUCUCAUUCCAUUUCCCCUUUCCCUGUGGCAUCUCCCUUUAGUCCCCUUGCAAUUCCCAUUCCCCUUCCCAUGCUCCGUAUCCCACCACUCCCAUUUCCAUUCCCCUUUCCCCUUCCCCUGACGCAUCUCCCUCCUAUCCCUUUCCAAAUCCCAUUCCCCUUUCCUCUUAACCUGUGCCAUCACCCUCCAGUCCCCUUCCCUUUCCCUUUCACCUUCCCCUGAGGCAUCUCCCUCCAGUCCCAUUCCCAUUCCCCUUCCCCUUCCCCUGCAGCAUUUCCCUCCAGACCCUUUCCCAUUCCCCUUUCCCCUUUCCCUGUGCCAUCACCCUCCAGUCCCCUUCCCAUUCCCUUUCCCCAACACCUGAGGCAUCUCCGUCCACUCCCAUUCCCAUUUCCCUUACCUUUCCAGUGCAGCAUCUCCCUCCAGUCCCCUUCCCAUUCCCUUUCCUUUUCCCUUGUGGCAUCUCCCUCCAAUCCCAUUCCAAAUCCCAUUCCCCUUUCACCGUACCCUGUGCCAUCUCCCUCCAGUCCCCUUCCCAUUCCCUUUCCCCUUCCCCUGAAGCAUCUCCCUCCAAUCCUAUUCGAAAUCCCAUUCGCCUUUCUCCUUACCCUGUGGCAUUUCCCUCCAGUCCCCUUCCAAUUUCUCUUCCCAUUCCCCUAAGGCAUCUCCCUCUAGUCCCCUUCCCUUCCCCUUAGCCUUAAUCUUCACCCUCUCCCUCCGAUCCCACUCCUCUCCCCUUCCACUGGAACAUCUCCCUCCAGUCCCAUUCUCAUUCCCCUUUCAUUUUCCCUCUGUCAUUUCCCUCCAGUCCCCUUCCAAUUCCCAUCCCCUUCCCCUGUGCCAUAUCCCUCUACUCCCCUUCCCAUUCCCCUUUUCCUUAACCUGCACCCUCCUCCUCCCAUCACAUUCCCAUCCCCUUCCCCUGCGCCAUAUCCCACCACUCCCAUUCUCAUUCCCCUUGCCCCUUCCCGAUGGCAUCUCCCUCCACUUCCAUUCCCAUUCCCCUUCUUCCUCUGCACCCUCUGCAACCUGAUGCAUUCCCUAUCCCCUUCCCGAUGGCAUCUCCCUCCACUCCCAUUCCCGUUCCCACUUCCCCUUCCCCUGUGGCAUCUCCCUCUAGU
rnacentral:lncRNA from 1 species